rnacentral:lncRNA from 1 species
GUCUUGAAAUUUCUUUUCUCUACACUGUCGUUCAAGAAACGAGGCGUUUUAAAUGUAAAGAUUACUUUGCACUUUUGAAAUCAACACUGACUGAUUCAAUAUUCAUAGGAAGAUUAAUUUCACGGCUGAUAUAAGUAGCGGUAACAGGAAAGACAUGAACCUCCUGUACGCAGAUUCAAUUUAGUUUGUAGAUAAUAUGUUACAUACAGUGAUAUAGAAGCUACGAAUUUUCGUUAGAAUAAUAUUUAACGUUCUUAAAAAGUCCCUUUUGUAGAUAUCAAGGCGAUCAGAAAAUCGCAAAAAAAUCAUUUGAAAUGUGUUUUUCUGACACUGUACGCAGACAAAUACCCCCAAAAUGGGUCUUAAAUGCAGUUUAAUCUUGUCAAAAUAGAUGUAAGGUGUGUUUAUUAUUAAUGUUCUGAAUCACAAAUCCGAC